rnacentral:lncRNA from 1 species
GGCGAGUCAUUCAUAUAUUUAUCAGACGAUUCUAGCAAAAUACAUUAAACAAGUCUUUCCACAUAUAAAUUAGACGAGUCUAUUAAUACAUAUUAGACAAGUUUGUUCGUUCACUAGUAGAUGAAUCUUGCAAUACACAUUAGAUGAGCUUGUUUAUACAUUAAUUAGAUUAGUCUAUUAAUACACAUUAGACAAUUCUAUUCAUUCUCUAAUUAGACAACUUUUGCA